CUCGAAGGGAAGUGUGAGCAACCGCCGGGACAAUCGGAAAUAGGCAACAAGGGCCCACAAAACCAGGCCUGGUUAUUUAGAGCAAAAUUUAAAACUGUAAGGUAAUGUCAUAAGUGGUCAUGAAAACAAAAGAAGCAUCGGUCAAACCCAAAGUGC